GUCUUUUUGGUAUUUAAUAUAAAGUCUAGCCUGCCCACUGAAUAUAUUUUAAAGGGCCGCAGUAUUUUGACUGUGCAAAGGUAGCAUAAUCAUUAGUCUUUUAAUUGAAGGCUGGUAUGAAUGGUUGAAUAAGAUACAAGCUGUGUCAUAAAAAUUAAUAAUUGAAUUUAACUUUUUAGUCAAAAGGCUAAAAUUUAUUUAAAAGACGAGAAGACCCUAUAGAGCUUUAUAUAUUAAUUAUUUAGAUUAUUAAGAUUUUUAAAAUUUAAUUUUUAAAAUAUAUUUUGUUGGGGUGACAAUAAAAUUUAUAAAACUUUUAUUUAUAUUUAACAUUAAUUUAUGGUUAUAUGAUCCAGUUUUAUUGAUUAUAAAUUUAAGUUACCUUAGGGAUAACAGCGUAAUUUUUUUUGAGAGUUCUUAUCGACAAAAAAGAUUGCGACCUCGAUGUUGGAUUAAGAGUAAUUUUGGGUGUAGAAGUUCAAAAUUUAAGUCUGUUCGACUUUUAAAUUCUUACAU
rnacentral:rRNA from 1 species